CGCUGGCGGCGUGCCUAACACAUGCAAGUCGAACGGGAACCUCUGGAUUCGUCUGGAGGGGAGAGUGGCGAACGGGUGAGUAACACGUUGGUGACCUGCCCCGAAGACGGGGAUAACCACUGGAAACGGUGGCUAAUACCCGAUAGUCUCGGCGAUUCGGUUCGCUGAGUAAAGCCCCCCCUACGGGGGGACGCUUUGGGAGGGGCCUGCGGCCCAUCAGCUAGUUGGUAGGGUAACGGCCUACCAAGGCAAAGACGGGUAGGGGCGUGAGAGCGUGACCCCCCACACUGGCACUGCGACACGGGCCAGACUCCUACGGGAGGCAGCAGUGAGGAAUAUUGCGCAAUGGGCGAAAGCCUGACGCAGCAACGCCGCGUGGGUGAUGAAGGCCUUCGGGUCGUAAAACCCUUUUCUGGGAGAUGAGCAAGGACGGUAUCCCAGGAAUAAGUCUCGGCUAACUACGUGCCAGCAGCCGCGGUAAUACGUAGGAGGCGAGCGUUAUCCGGAUUUACUGGGCGUAGAGUGCGUUGAGGCGGUUCUGUAAGUUGGACGUGAAAGCUCCUGGCCCAACUGGGAGAGGUCGUUCAAUACUGCAGGACUUGAGGGCAGCAGAGGGAGGUGGAAUUCCCGGUGUAGUGGUGAAAUGCGUAGAUAUCGGGAGGAACACCAGUGGCGAAGGCGGCCUCCUGGGCUGCUCCUGACGCUGAAGGCGAAAGCUAGGGGAGCGAACGGGAUUAGACACCCCGGUAGUCCUAGCUGUAAACGAUGGAUACUAGGUGUGGGAAGUGAAAAAUCUUUCCGUGCCGAAGCUAACGCGUUAAGUAUCCCGCCUGGGGAGUACGAUCGCAAGGUUAAAACUCAAAGGAAUUGACGGGUCUCCGCACAAGCAGCGGAGCGUGUGGUUUAAUUCGACUACGCGAAGAACCUUACCAGGGUUUGACAUGCAGGUAGUAGUGAAGCGAAAGCGGAACGACCCGCAAGGGAGCCUGCACAGGUGCUGCAUGGCUGUCGUCAGCUCGUGCCGUGAGGUGUUAGGUUAAGUCCUGUAACGAGCGCAACCCCUACCGUUAGUUACAUGUGUCUAGCGGAACUGCCCGGCAAAACUGGGAGGAAGGUGGGGAUGACGUCAAGUCAGCAUGGCCCUUUUGCCCUGGGCUACACACACGCUACAAUGGCCGGUACAAUGGGUCGCCAAGCCGUGAGGCGGAGCCAAUCCUUAAAGCCGGUCUCAGUUCGGAUUGUAGGCUGCAACCCGCCUGCAUGAAGUUGGAGUUGCUAGUAACCGCAGGUCAGCCACACUGCGGUGAAUGCGUUCCCGGAGAUUGUACACACCGCCCGUCACGUCAUGGGAGCUGGUAACACCUGAAGCCAGUGGGCUAACCGCAAGGAGGCAGCUGUCGAAGGUGGGACUGGUGACUGGGACGAAGUCGUAACAAGGUA
rnacentral:rRNA from 1 species